rnacentral:rRNA from 1 species
AGUCGAGCGGAACGAGUUAUCUGAACCUUCGGGGAACGAUAACGGCGUCGAGCGGCGGACGGGUGAGUAAUGCCUAGGAAAUUGCCCUGAUGUGGGGGAUAACCAUUGGAAACGAUGGCUAAUACCGCAUAAUGCCUACGGGCCAAAGAGGGGGACCUUCGGGCCUCUCGCGUCAGGAUAUGCCUAGGUGGGAUUAGCUAGUUGGUGAGGUAAUGGCUCACCAAGGCGACGAUCCCUAGCUGGUCUGAGAGGAUGAUCAGCCACACUGGAACUGAGACACGGUCCAGACUCCUACGGGAGGCAGCAGUGGGGAAUAUUGCACAAUGGGCGCAAGCCUGAUGCAGCCAUGCCGCGUGUGUGAAGAAGGCCUUCGGGUUGUAAAGCACUUUCAGUCGUGAGGAAGGUAGUGUAGUUAAUAGCUGCAUUAUUUGACGUUAGCGACAGAAGAAGCACCGGCUAACUCCGUGCCAGCAGCCGCGGUAAUACGGAGGGUGCGAGCGUUAAUCGGAAUUACUGGGCGUAAAGCGCAUGCAGGUGGUUUGUUAAGUCAGAUGUGAAAGCCCGGGGCUCAACCUCGGAAUAGCAUUUGAAACUGGCAGACUAGAGUACUGUAGAGGGGGGUAGAAUUUCAGGUGUAGCGGUGAAAUGCGUAGAGAUCUGAAGGAAUACCGGUGGCGAAGGCGGCCCCCUGGACAGAUACUGACACUCAGAUGCGAAAGCGUGGGAGCAAACAGGAUUAGAUACCCUGGUAGUCCACGCCGUAAACGAUGUCUACUUGGAGGUUGUGGCCUUGAGCCGUGGCUUUCGGAGCUAACGCGUUAAGUAGACCGCCUGGGGAGUACGGUCGCAAGAUUAAAACUCAAAUGAAUUGACGGGGGCCCGCACAAGCGGUGGAGCAUGUGGUUUAAUUCGAUGCAACGCGAAGAACCUUACCUACUCUUGACAUCCAGAGAACUUUCCAGAGAUGGAUUGGUGCCUUCGGGAACUCUGAGACAGGUGCUGCAUGGCUGUCGUCAGCUCGUGUUGUGAAAUGUUGGGUUAAGUCCCGCAACGAGCGCAACCCUUAUCCUUGUUUGCCAGCGAGUAAUGUCGGGAACUCCAGGGAGACUGCCGGUGAUAAACCGGA